rnacentral:rRNA from 1 species
UACAGAGGUCUCAAGCGUUGUUCGGAUUCAUUGGGCGUAAAGGGUGCGUAGGCGGCGCGGUAAGUCGGGUGUGAAAUCUCGGAGCUUAACUCCGAAACUGCAUUCGAUACUGCCGUGCUUGAGGACUGGAGAGGAGACUGGAAUUUACGGUGUAGCGGUGAAAUGCGCAGAUAUCGGGAGGAACACCAGCGGCGAAGGCGGCACUCUGGGCUGGUACUGACGCUGAGGAGCGAAAGCGUGGGUAGCAAACAGG